rnacentral:rRNA from 1 species
UACCAGACUCCUACGGGAGGCAGCAGUGGGGGAUAUUGCACAAUGGGGGAAACCCUGAUGCAGCGACGCCGCGUGGGCGAAGAAGUAUUUCGGUAUGUAAAGCCCUAUCAGCAGGGAAGAAGAAAUGACGGUACCUGAGUAAGAAGCACCGGCUAAAUACGUGCCAGCAGCCGCGGUAAUACGUAUGGUGCAAGCGUUAUCCGGAUUUACUGGGUGUAAAGGGAGCGCAGGCGGCACGGCAAGCCUGAUGCGAAAGCCCGCGGCCCAACCGCGGGACUGCAUUGGGAACUACCGGGCUGGAGUGCCGGAGAGGUAGGCGGAAUUCCUGGUGUAGCGGUGAAAUGCGUAGAUAUCAGGAGGAACACCGGUGGCGAAGGCGGCCUGCUGGACUGCAACUGACGUUGAGGCCCGAAAGCGUGGGGAGCAAACAGGAUUAGAUACCCGUGUA